rnacentral:rRNA from 1 species
UACGGAGGGGGCUAGCGUUGUUCGGAAUUACUGGGCGUAAAGGGCGUGUAGGCGGCCUGCCAAGUCAGAUGUGAAAGCCCCGGGCUUAACCUGGGAACUGCAUUUGAGACUGGCCGGCUAGAGGUUGGAAGAGGAGAGUGGAAUUCCCAGUGUAGAGGUGAAAUUCGUAGAUAUUGGGAAGAACACCAGUGGCGAAGGCGGCUCUCUGGUCCACACCUGACGCUGAGGCGCGAAAGCGUGGGGAGCAAACAGGAUUAGAUACCCUGGUAGUCCACGCCGUAAACGAUGUGUGCUAGACGUCGGAUGUUACGCAUUCGGUGUCGCCGCUAACGCAUUAAGCACACCGCCUGGGGAGUACGGCCGCAAGGUUA